UGGGGAAUUUUGGACAAUGGGCGAAAGCCUGAUCCAGCAAUGCCGCGUGUGUGAAGAAGGCCUUCGGGUUGUAAAGCACUUUUGUCCGGAAAGAAAUCCUUGGCUCUAAUACAGUCGGGGGAUGACGGUACCGGAAGAAUAAGCACCGGCUAACUACGUGCCAGCAGCCGCGGUAAUACGUAGGGUGCAAGCGUUAAUCGGAAUUACUGGGCGUAAAGCGUGCGCAGGCGGUUUGCUAAGACCGAUGUGAAAUCCCCGGGCUCAACCUGGGAACUGCAUUGGUGACUGGCAGGCUAGAGUAUGGCAGAGGGGGGUAGAAUUCCACGUGUAGCAGUGAAAUGCGUAGAGAUGUGGAGGAAUACCGAUGGCGAGGCAGCCCCCUGGGCCAAUACUGACGCUCAUGCACGAAAGCGUGGGGAGCAAACAGGAUUAGAUACCCUGGUAGUCCACGCCCUAAACGAUGUCAACUAGUUGUUGGGGAUUCAUUUCCUUAGUAACGUAGCUAACGCGUGAAGUUGACCGCCUGGGGAGUACGGUCGCAAGAUUAAAACUCAAAGGAAUUGAC
rnacentral:rRNA from 1 species